GACGAACGCUGGCGGCGUGCUUAACACAUGCAAGUCGAACGGUAAGGCCCUUCGGGGUACACGAGUGGCGAACGGGUGAGUAACACGUGGGUGAUCUGCCCUGCACUUCGGGAUAAGCCUGGGAAACUGGGUCUGAUACCGGAUAGGACUCCGGACUGCAUGGUCUGGGGUGGAAAGCUUUUGCGGUGGGGGAUGGGCCCGCGGCCUAUCAGCUUGUUGGUGGGGUGAUGGCCUACCAAGGCGACGACGGGUAGCCGGCCUGAGAGGGUGACCGGCCACACUGGGACUGAGAUACGGCCCAGACUCCUACGGGAGGCAGCAGUGGGGAAUAUUGCACAAUGGGCGCAAGCCUGAUGCAGCGACGCCGCGUGAGGGAUGACGGCCUUCGGGUUGUAAACCUCUUUCAGCAUCGACGAAGCGAAAGUGACGGUAGGUGCAGAAGAAGGACCGGCCAACUACGUGCCAGCAGCCGCCGUAA
rnacentral:rRNA from 1 species